GAUGAACGCUGGCGGCGUGCCUAAUACAUGCAAGUCGAGCGAACGGACGAGAAGCUUGCUUUUCUGAUGUUAGCGGCGGACGGGUGAGUAACACGUGGAUAACCUACCUAUAAGACUGGGAUAACUUCGGGAAACCGGAGCUAAUACCGGAUAAUAUUUUGAACCGCAUGGUUCAAAAGUGAAAGACGGUCUUGCUGUCACUUAUAGAUGGAUCCGCGCUGCAUUAGCUAGUUGGUAAGGUAACGGCUUACCAAGGCAACGAUGCAUAGCCGACCUGAGAGGGUGAUCGGCCACCCUGGAACUGAGACACGGUCCAGACUCCUACGGGAGGCAGCAGUAGGGAAUCUUCCGCAAAGGGCGAAAGCCUGACGGAGCAACGCCGCGUGAGUGAUGAAGGUCUUCGGAUCGUAAAACUCUGUUAUUAGGGAAGAACAUAUGUGUAAGUAACUGUGCACAUCUUGACGGUACCUAAUCAGAAAGCCACGGCUAACUACGUG
rnacentral:rRNA from 1 species